rnacentral:tRNA from 2 species
GGCCAGUUGGUGAAGCGACUUAACACACCGCCCUUUCACGGCGGCAUUCAUGGGUUUGAAUCCCAUACUGGUCACCA